rnacentral:lncRNA from 1 species
AAUGAUAUGGACAGGAAAAGGCGUCCAAGGAGUUUGAGGUUAAUUUGGAAAAGGAAAAUAGCACUUGCUUCACAAUGUGCCAUUUAGGGAAAAAUAGGAAAUGAAUUAUUUGAGCAUGAUGAUAAACAUGACAAAUGAAAUAUUUUGCCAUAUUUGAGAAAGAUAUGACCCAAACAAUUUAUGAGAAUUAUUUGGGAAUUUUAGGAGUGAUGGAAAUAAAGGUUGCUUCACAACCUAGGGCAAUUUGAGUUAUUCCUUUAAUAGAAAAGGAAUAUUCCCAAUAAAAAGAAUAUUGGGAUUUGGGGUAGGAUGAAAAUGACAGGGUCUAGGGAAGGAUUUGGGAAUGACAAGCCACUCUGGAAACAAAGAACAGGGCAUCUUCUUCAGUUUCCAGACCACAAAGCCACGCAAAAAGAAAACUCAAGCAAAAAACCUCAGAAAAACAAAAGAAAAAGAAAGGGCCAAAACUCAGGCUAUCACAAACCUUACCCCCUUAAAGAAAUCUUGUCCUCGAGAUUUGGUUGCUUAGGGAACAAGUAUGAAGAUACUAACUUAAGGAAACCUUUUCCAACUCGGGUAUCCUUUUUCUUAUUUUUGUUCCCACUAAAUUUUUAUAUGACUGGCCAUGGGGUGGUUUGCUUUAAUAUAUCCAUAUUCUGACAGAUCUUACCUUGCUUGUUCAGGCUUAUACAGGCUCCAAUUACUUUUUAGAUCUGCUGACUUAGCUGACUGUGAUUGAUUCUCACGACUGAAAUAUAUGUCGGUCUCACAAAUCCAAGGGUGAUUUCCGUUGGGUGUGUCAUCCGACACUGACAAUCUUUCAUGAAGAGGUGAUCAGAUUUUUCUAGUGGACACCCAAGCUCUAACUCCUUGCAUUGGGUUUCUCCACUAAAUGCAGGUCCUUCGGGUUCCAAACAGUGAGUUGGGUCAUAACCGCUUUCCUGAUAGAUUCUGGCUUAUCGCGGAAGUUUCUGAAUCAUCUUAACUGGUUCCACUGUCUUGAGUAUCGGAUCCGUACCAAAUAUUUGAUUGUCGCCUGUCGUGGCUAGCAUAAGAGUUUGACCUGUAUGAUAAUAUCUGUAGACUUGACUGACGGUGGUUCUACACCACGCGGGUCUUGCAACAAUUUUCAUACCUACAUCACUGGUCUUGCUCCUUCAUUAUUGUUUUCUUGGUCUGGAUCCUUGGCUGAAAGAGCUGGGUCAUAUUGCUUCUUCGUAUCACCAUAGGUACUGUCGGUGCAAUUUUUCGGCAAUCGUAGCGUAUCCUCAUUUUUCUGACAGGGUACCCCAUUAAAUGGCAGGUUCGACACCCCUCAAGUUCUGACCGCAGGAAAAUGAUCAUCCGAACCUUUGCAAGAAAUCGGCAAAUAAAUCAGUAGCCACCAGAACGGUCUUUACAACUCAAAUCUGGGACAUUACUGAAAUAACUUAACCACGGCUCAGGACGGCCGAAAAGCAGCUCAGAACAUGAGACCGGGUUGAUAAGAAGAAGGUGGCAGCUCCCUAAAAUAGCUAAAAAGCAGCUAUAGGGCUACUGUCACAAAAAGAAACUCAACAGCUGUAUGAGACGGCCGAAAAGCAGCUCAGAGCUCGUGACAGUCAUUGAAGAGAGAAAUAAAAAUCGGCAUCCACCCUGGAUAGCUAAAAACAGCUUAGAUCAUAGGCAUGGUGCUGUCAUUGGAGAAAAAGGGGAGAAGGGCUCAUCAGGAUCAUUUUCCAGGUUCACAGGUACUUGUAUUGAGCUGAUUGAUGUCGUCAAUCCUCAUAAUCCUUUGUCACACUGUGGUGUAUACUGGCUUUCUUCUCUUAACCAUCCUCACGUGGUUGUCAGAUCCUCAUCCGAGUGACUUGUAAGAUCUUGGUGGUAUGCUCACCGCAUAUAUAUGAGAAUCUGAUUCCCGAGACAGACGUGUAUUCUGACUAAUUCUUGCUUCUGACCAAAAUGUUGCGGAUCUGAUUCUUGGGAUUCACUGCCAUAUGCUGUCAAUUCACAGCGUACUACCUUGUACCAAUGUCUUACUGAGGAAGAUUGGCUGGCUUGUGCUCGAAACUUUCAUCGGACAGCUUGCUGAAGAAGACUGGGUAUCGUGCUUCAGAAGCUUACCCCCUUAAAGACUUUGCUGGGGAAAGACUCAGUGCCUUAUGCUGGAAGCUUUUGCGGUUGCUUACUAAAGAAGGCAGAGUACCUUGUACGGGAAAUCAUCCAUGUAUCGUACUAAGGAAGAUAGAUGAAUCUUGCCUUGGAAGCUUCUCGGGUAUCUUGCGAUGGAAGAUCUGGUUGCUUACACCAGAAGCUUCUUAUUGUGAUAUGCGGACCGAUUUCCACAUAUAUAACCAUCUUAAUAUUUUUGUUAUUGAUUUCUUGUAUGAAACGGGGUUUUGCAGGACUAUCCUCCUUUCUGAGUACAUGCCAUAUUUUUGCUUGCUUCCAGGUACAUCGGGUUCCAAAAUCAUCCUCAACAAAAAAUUAAACUUGUAUCUGAGCCAUACCUUUGAUAAUAUUCUGUCAACCUUGCACACAAUUUAUCUUCUUGCUAAUUUGAUCAUAUCUGCUAUGAGGAGUGCAUGCUGAGGGAGACUUGACACUCAGUAACAUGAUCAGAUAUCCCCCAAUCUGAAUGCAGUCGGCUGAGAAUUCCAUACUGUUGUGAGGAGUGCACGUUAAUGCAAACUUUAUACUGACAUUCCAUCCAGGAUUUCUUUUGUAUUCAGACGAGCUAUUUCCAAUUUCACUGCAGUCUGCUGACAAUUCCAUUCUAUUUAGCUGAGUUUCCAAAUAUAUGCAUUUCUUGCUGAAUCUUCGGGUCCGGUGUCAGCUGACGAGCAACUUUAAUAGGGGGGAAAUUUGUAACACCGGAGGCCCAAAGAAAGAAACAAAAGAAACGACUAAAACAAAAGCACACAAGCAUACUACUAAUAUAAUUAAUCAAAGCAAUCAUCACAUAUUACUGCUACUCACACCAUAAUAUGCAUGCACACCUAAGCACACAAAUCGCGCGGAAACUCUGGUAUUACAGUCUAAUAUGCUAUGGCGGUGUGCACGAAAAUUAUAUCCAUGUGUGGAAGGAGUUGGCGUAACCGAAGCUACACUAAGCACUGGCUGAACAGUGGCUGGAUCUGGAUGGAUACACAGGUGAGGACGGACUUGACGAUCAAGUAGCAAGACACAAAAGUCACGACCACAUCAUCAUCAAGCGUACGAAAGGGAUUCAUACACGUCCAAAGAAUAGAAUGAGUGGGUAGGGUAGCGGUGGAAAAACAAGGCUCGCUAGCAUUGCCCUUUUCUGAUAACCAACAUCAGUAUGGGUUGCCAGAGGGACGAGAUGGAUGGCAUGAUUCGAGAUAGAAACAAGUCUAUCACCGAAAUAAUAUGGGUGGGUGGGGGAAAAUAUACGCGACACCUGAGCAUAACUCCUGCAAAUGGUGUCUGGAACUCUGGGUACCAGGGCAUCACUCUGUUGGGACAUAGAUGACGCCGAACACCAAAGAGCAGACAUGCUAAGAAGGAGGGUGCAGGCGGUGGACCGAAAACGAUGCCACCUACACUCACAAGAUUAACCGUUAGUGACAAAAUAAUAAUCUAUAUGCAUGCUAUGCGACAAACAAAUGCAACCAUCAAGUGCAACAAACCAACUGGGGUCUAUACUACCGCUUUCUAACGUUCGCAUUGCUAGGGCAUCCUACAGCCAGACCUGCUCUGAUACCAAGCGCUGGGGCACCCCGGCUCAGAGAAAACCGGAAUGCCCCGUAUUCCAGCCCAGAGAUCGAGGUGAAGUCUUCUGGAAUAUGGCACUUCUUAGUAUAGAACAAACCAGCUCUCUAUUACAACACGAAUAUGAAUACAAGGGUUCCGAUAUUACAAUGAAUAACAUCGGCACGGCGACACUACGCCUGCCACGCUUGCUCUAUACAAGCAGCAGAACAACUCGAAGCAGCGGAACAACUACUGUCAGUGGAACAAUGAACGACGAUGAUGGACUCCAAUCCGCAGGGACUCUGGCUGGAACGUUUAUCCUAGCUCGCGAACAUAGGAACAACACCAAACAAGCAAGCAAUCCAGGCACGACCUGCAAGCUAGCAUGACACGCCAGGUCAGUACAUUGAAUGUACUUGCAAGCUCACAAUAAACAGAAGCAUUCAACACAAACAACAGCAUGGCAAUUACAGGUUAAGCAGGAAUUAUCAUGAGAUCAUCAGGAUAACAUGGCAUGAACAACAUGAACAUAAUACUGCUAGAACAAUAUGAGCAUGGCAUGUACAUAUAAAUCUGACGAUACUAGCAUGCAACAUGAUGACACUGUAUGCACCAUUUAUUUUGCUCGGGUUACCUCGUAACCAUCAUAUGCAUCACCUACCAACCUCGGACAUCACACGAUCAUCUCAGGAUCAAAUCAAGCUUGGUAUAAACAAUACCGUGGUAAUCAUUAAAUGACCACAAGGAGCUUGAUAUAUACCCACGAUUCUCGCACAACAUCACGAAUAUCCAACAACUCGGUAUCCUCGAUACCACGGUGAUCAUUCACGGAUCACAAACGGAACCACUCUGGGCUCAACGGGUUACCUCGUAACCAAACGGUGAUCUUUCCGGCGAUCACAACCAUGAACAACACUUGGUCUCAAACGGUGAUCUUUCCGGCGAUCACAACCAACUUAUCUCCUCAACGAACCGGGGUUGUUAUUAAACACAUUAUUAUUAUUACUGUUGACCCAUAGUGUGACCGAAACAAACUAGACCCUUAUCCGCGGGCACGACUAUCGAUAGAUUUAAUAUACACUCUGCAGAGGUUAGUACACUGUACCCAUACCACAGAACCCAUGGCCUCGCACUCCCAUUUGGGUGGACCAAUGGCGUUCCGACAAAACUAUCCUACUGCCAUGACACUCUCCCGGUCACUCCGACAAACUCCCCUCUGGGAUAAGUCCUGGGUGGCCCCGUGCCUACCAAAGGCACCAACGGCCACCGUCGUGGCCAAACAAAAUGGUCCCAAACGGGGACAAAAGCGCUUAUCAUCCAACUACGGGCACACAAGGUUAUGUCUGCUUACCGGGCCAGGGUACCGCACGCCCAUAAGCUUCCCUCGUUGGAGGCACUGGCGAGAGGCACGAAAUAGACCCAGUUAGGACCUUCCCAUAAAGGUAAGUGUGGUUGCACUAGUCAGCUCAAUAUGGUGGCACCAUGACUCAGCCAACAGUUGUUCAAGUUCAAUUUAAUCCGGUUAAACUUGAAUGCAAAUAUGCUGAGCCAUGAUAAAAUAACAUGAUGCAAUUACAAUGCAUGAGCAUGAUAUCAACAUAAGCACGGGGUGCAACAUAACUAUCCACCAUAUCCAACUGAGCAUAGUAUAAUGACGAGCAUGAAUAUCACAAGUACAACACUACUCAUAGAAACCUAGCAUGACCACUAGCAUCAACAAUAAAUAUCAUGCAAGACAUAUCAACAAUGCUACCAUGCAAUCAUUUAACCAACUGGAUGCAAUGGAACAUGCAUAACGACGGCACUCGGAACAGACGAUAGUCAUGCACCGAAGGCCAUCACCAACAUCAACAUGUACUACUAGCAAGCAUAAGCAUAUGAAAGGAAUACUAGCAACUAGUACAAGAUUACCAGGUGCAAGAUAACAUAACACGAGAGUGAACAUGAAACUCUAAGCAGCAGCGGAACAACGAUAACCAUGUUUUAAACAAGCAAACAUUUAUUAAAUAUUCGAGUUUAAAACCAUGGCUACUGCAUGACUAUCAUGCAAGUGGGUAUUGUGGCUUGCCUCGGGUGAAGAAGGCACCGGGAAGAAGUGCGGUGAAGCCGCAAAAAGAUUUGCCGGAAACAGUUCUCUCCCGGAAGGGCUGUUUAUGUGCAAGGGAAAAAUGGUCAUUUUCAGAAUGUUAACACAUGGAGAAAGUGUGACCAACAGAACGGGCUGGACGAUACGAAGAAAUGGGCUUUGGAAUCACCUCAUUUGGAGUUACGAGUAAAAAGUUGUGAGGUGAGGAAGUUCAGGGACUAAUCUGCAAAAAUAUCAUCACAAACAAGCCCUUGAGUGGAUAAGGCAGAAGCAGAUUUCGGAAAAUACGCUUUCUAGAGAGGAAAGCGGAUUUGCGCCCGAAGAAGAAACGUAAUACGCUUACCCAAAGAGGAGCGCACUUCACGCGAUACGCUUUCUGCAGAUGAAAACGCACACGCCCGAAUACGUCUCCACUUGCCACGUCAGCGUCAGCGGGGUCAAUCCCCCGGGUCACUGACUGGUGGGGCCACGGGGUCCACGCGCUCGGUCAAAUCCCUCCUCCCACUCCUCCUCUUCUUCCCCCCGACGCGGGCGCAGAAUAGAGGGAGGGGGAGGGCUCAGAGGGCUCGGAUUUAAGCCGAGCUUCACGGCGGCCAUGACGGCAGAGAGAAGUGGGGAGGGGCUCUGGAGCUCGAGGGAGAUGCCGGGGAGGUUGCUGGAGGUGGUGUGAGGCUGGUGGUGAGGCCGAACAGCCUCGGGGUAGGCUAUAUAUAGGCGGGGCGAGGAGGGCAGGCCGUGGACGCGUGGUCGUGGCUUGGGUGCCGCCGCUCACGUCCGGCCAUGCUCUGGAGACGGCAGCAAUCAUGGGAGGGCGCGGGAUCACGACGAGGGAGGUGCGGACGAGCUACAGAGGCGCACAGGGCAAGAGGGGCCGAGGGGCACAGAGGAGAAGCGGCCGAACGCCAUUACAGCCUUGUCGGCUACAGCUCGCUCGUGGGCGCGCGGCGACGAGCACCGACGGAGAAGCUGACGGAGGGGGAAAUGGCUCCAGGAGGACGGCGACGACGCGGGGAACACGGUAGACAGGCCCGUGCUCGCUGAGAAGCCAAGCAGAGAAGGGGCCCGAGCAAGAAGACGUUCUGGGCGCGGCCAGUGUGUGCCAAAGCGGUGGUCACCGCGCGCACUGGUGCACACAGUGCCACACUAUCGCCCAAAUGGUGUCUGGGGUUUAGUCCUUCCUGGGUAGGUUGCCACUGAGGUGGUAGCUCGAUUAAAGACGAUGUGGUUAAAUGGUAAGUGAGCUCUGAAGUUUACUGCAGUAAACUUGAUCAUGAAACAGUGAUCAACUAAGGUGAGAUGAGAGGCAAACAAGUUGUCUGGUAGAUUUAGGUUAGGAAGGACUAUAGUCCUGGUAAUUAUGGAGGGGUUUGGCUCAAGGAUUAUUACAGUUGCUUAACAACUGCAUAAAUUGGUCCAAAAACAAGAUCAGGAAGAAGCACUCACAUAGAGUGAUGGAUUGAGCUGAAAAUGAACAUGGCAGGGUUAUUUGGUGAUAUGAAGCUGCUGUAAAAGUUUCAUGCCAUUUGGAAAUACCAAAGUGGCACUUGCUUCACAAAGCUUCACUCUGGACAGAAACUUGGAAAAAUUACACAGGGCAAUUGGAUUAACUAAUUGAGCUCAAACUUGGUGGAGGGAGUUGAUAUAGAUAGAAGCAUGUCCUGGUAAAGUUUCAGCUCAAUUGAAGCAAUAUAAAAUAUAGUUGCUUCACAAACUGAAAAUCUGACCAGAAUCUAAGAUUUGGAGCUGGGCUCACAUAGAUAAGUUACAUGAGCUCAAAUUUGGUGGACAGUCAUUAUUUUAUCAUAUGAAGGACCUUGCAAAAUUGCAUAUCAUUUGGAUAUGUCUAGCUUGUACUUCCUUCACAAAGCUUCUUUCUGGAUAGAAACUUUGGAAAAUCAUAAUUAAAUAAUUAUUAGGAAAAUGAGGUUGCAUUUUGGCAUGUGGCAAUGAUAUGGACAGGAAAAUGUGUCCAAGGAGUUUGAGGUCAAUUUGGAAAAGGAAAAUAGCACUUGCUUCACAAUGUGCCAUUUAGGGGAAAAUAGGAAAUGAAUUAUUUGAGCAUGAUGAUAAACAUGACAAAUGAAAUAUUUUGCCAUAUUUGAGAAAUAUAUGACCCAAACAAUUUAUGAGAAUUAUUUGGGAAUUUUAGGAGUGAUGGAAAUAAAGGUUGCUUCACAACCUAGGGCAAUUUGAGUUAUUCCUUUAAUAGAAAAGGAAUAUUCCCAAUAAAAAUAAUAUUGGGAUUUGGGGUAGGAUGAAAAUGACAGGGUCUAGGGAAGGAUUUGGGAAUGACAAGCCACUCUGGAAACAAAGAACAGGGCAUCUUCUUCAGUUUCCAGACCACAAAGCCACGGAAAAAGAAAACUCAAGCAAAACCUCAGAAAAACAAAAGAAAAAGAAA